rnacentral:lncRNA from 1 species
GUCUGGGCUCCUCUCUCUCGGAAAGGUUGGCGUUCUUCACUUUGGUAAUGUCAAGAGACACCUCUCCCCAUUCAGUGAGGCAGCAGGGAAGGGGAGCUCUUAGAACCACAGAAAUUAGAGAGCAGAGGAACCCAAGAGGUCAGCACAUCCACCAGCGUGACACUCAGGCUGCCUUCUACAGGGACCUUGUCAGUGAUUUGCUCUCCUCUGUUUUGACUCCAGAAAAAAAGGUGCUGUCAACCUCAUGUAGAGGGUUAUUCCACAGUUCUAUCUGUUAGGUGCUCUUUCACUCAAUUAAUUUCUUUCUUUUUUUUCUUUCUUUCUUUAUUUCUUUCUCAUAACCCGAUGCUCAUAGGUAUGAUAUUUUAGUUUCAUUUCAUACAUUGACUUGGGAGCUUGCCCAGAUCAUUGCAAUCUGUGGAGAGAACCAAAUAACUUCUGUAUUCUCUAAAGAGGUCUUUCACUUCUUCGGAGAAAGAUAAAUCUCUCAGAGGACAGAAACUGAAAGAUUGUCUCCAUGGCUGAGUUUGGGGCCUGAGAUUAAAAAGGAACCAAUUGAUCCCUGGAGAGCAUCACUCUUGCUCUGUCAGUGACUGAGGUUCCAUAUCCACAGAUCCCUAAAAACUUGCUCAGGCUCUCUGGGCCCUGGACAUAUCCAGGGAAGAAAACCAUUUGAGACGGGGGCGUUGAAAAAGGUCUCUAUUGGAUUUGGGGGAAGAAUCAAUUCAACACAAUUCUGCUGCAAAGUACAAAGUGCUUAAUCAAGAAGUUUGAAUUGUUUAUUUACUUUUUCUCUCUGGAGUAGAUGUGUGCUUUCAUAGCAGAAAAGAGACUUGGUAGUCAGAAAAUCCUUGGAUUGAAACUCACUCUAGUACAAGCUGGGGAGGUUUAUAAAGCUACAUAAGCACCAUUAGUCUCAAUUCCUUCCUUUAAAAAGGGUGGCAGGCAAUGGCGGCCUAUUUGUGGGUUGAUUUUGAGGAAGAGAAAAUACAAAGACAUUGGGAUCACACAGCAUGAAAUCAUCCAAAAGAAUAGGAUUUCAAUAUGUAAUUGAAACCAUUCAAUUCCGUGCUCACCUUCUGCUUCACGUCUUUCUUUUUCUCUUCAUCGGAGGGAACAGGACAGACAGAGCUGCUGCGGUUAAGAAGGCAAUACCCUUUGGACAACUGUGGAACCAUCUAACUCUCUGAACCUCAGAACCUGUGAACUCUCCAAACCUCGGCUCACCCCUUCUCCAGCAGCGAAUCCCUUCACCACUUACCAUGCUCACCUCCACACCUCUCAUUACCACCUCAAGUGUGAAGACUCAAGAUCACAGCUUUUCUGCGUUGAGUUCAAAUCCCUCCACAAGCUGGUCUUUGUCGACUUCUCUCACUCAGAGGUACUGGACUAUUUACUUUUUCAUUUAUUCAACAAGUAUCUAUAGGUUGCCUAGUAAGUGCAAAUCGCUGCAUUAGUGCUAAGUAUUUAAACUUGAACAUUUUGACAGGAAAAGUUGGUAAAGUUGCAAUUUUAUAGAUUUAAAUUUUCAUUGUACCUAGCUUGUUUUGUAAAAUAAAUAUGUAUUAAUUAUGUAAUUCUUUUCAAAAACCCUACUGGGGCUAUAUUAUCUUUAUUGCAUUAAUUAGGACAUAAAGACUCUGAAAAAUUAAACAAAUUCCCCAAAAUAAAACAGUGUAGAAAAAAUCCAAGUAGAAUCUGAAUUAUAAAAUUUAAAAAUCUGCAGUUUUUCAUUUUAUUUCUCUUUGGCCUUAAGAUAUACAAAAUGUUUUUAUCUGUAUCAUCAUCUAUCAUGAAUUUUGACAAAUACUUUUUUGAUGUCAGAAAUACUUUCACGUAAGUGACAAUUAAUAAAACAUUUAAGGAUGCCUGUUCGUACCCUCUAUGCCCCAAUAAAAGUAUUUUCUGCCUUGGCCAGAAACCACUGAAUGGCUUGGUUGAGCAAUGACGUUCCUGUGUCUCUAUAAUUACUUUCUGGCCUGGAGUUCUUAUCCUUGGGAGGCUCGGAAGCAUUAUUUAUACAUGACAUUUUGAGGUUGGUAAUUCUCUUCAAAAAUUUUCCUUCCUUCCAAUGUAAAGGACCAGAAAAUCUCUUUCCAUCCAUUUUUUAUCUCAAAAACUCACAGACAUGUAAUCAAUUUUGACCCAUUUGAGAACCAUGGCAUACACUGGGAAAAACAUGGUCUCUGUGACCUUGGUAAAAAUUGCCCCAGUUUUCCAACCAGAAUCAAGGAAAGUCUUAAUGACAUGUGUCUCUUGUCAAAAUCUUCUCAUUCAUUAGAUUGGCCAGGCUGGACAAAGACCUAAUUGUUACAUGGAGAUUGUUUGGUUUUGGUCGUCUUUUUCUAGUUGGGUUCCAGAGUACAGUGAAAAUGUUAUUCUUUUACCAAGCAAGGACAUAAAUGAUAAGAAUGUGAUGAGGAUAAGAAUGUGACCUAAGGUAUUUUAAGGUGAUUGUCCUUUCUCUUCCAGAAUUCUCUUCUGUUUUGUGGUCUCAUCGCUAGCAGUGAGAAAAAAAAAAAGCUAACCAUCAUUACCCCAAACUCUGGGACUUCCCAAGUUCAGUUUCCUCUGUCUCCCCCUCUGGAUUAGCUUUUCUCCAACACUUGGUGGUUCAGGUUGUGUUCUUUGGGAGUUAUGAGGUUUUCUGUCACACUCUCUGAUAGAUCUCGUUAGUGUCAGCUUGGAAAUAGACAUUUAGUGGGCUGCCAUGGUUUUGUUCACAGAAGCUAGAUGUUGGAAAUGGCUGCUCACAUUUUCCUCUAGAAGUACCAGUCUAUGAAGAUUCCAUGCUUUAGAUGGAACUCAGGCUCCCACACCCUCUGCAUCCACCUGCAACCACAUGAGGAGGCAAGGCCAUAUGCAUAGAUGGUGGAGCAUUGAGCAAUUCCUGUUGGCAAAGCAGUGAGUCACUUUGCUGGUUGUCACAGAGCUGCCUGUCCUCUGGAUCUAGGUCACACCCAGGAGUGCAGACUUCUGCUGACAACUUUGAUUUUGUUGUCAGGACUCCUGUGAUGGUUCGGCUGUGGUUUCAGUCUUUAAUCCUAUGUCUUCCAUGGAUCUCGCACGGUUUCUGGUAGAGGAUAUAGCCUUUUUAUGUGCAUCAUGAUUAUGUUUUACUUAUUUAUAUGUCAUUUUUGGCUUUUUGAGUCUGGAGCAAAAAUGGGAAACGCGGCCUAUUUCAGACUACCAUCUUAAACAAGUGAAUGAAACUAUCAAAAUUUUAGUUAUCCCACCAUUUGCAUUCCCCUCUUAACAAAUUGCACCAUUGAAACAACAUGUGCCUUUGGGUUGACUCCAGACUGAUCCUGUAUCUUCUACCAAAGGAAGACAAAAUGAAAGCACAGUCUCUCAUUUCCACAGGGAUUCUCCCCCUUGGAAACACCAAUGAUAGAGCAAGCUCACCAUGCACUCGCAAACAACUCGCAUGACUUUGGUGCAACAGAACACAAGGCACACACAAGUAACAUGAGGCAUGAAGGGACAGCAGAAGCCUAGAAUUUAGUGCCAGCGAUGCACCCUGUCCCCAUGCCUCAAGGCUCAGGAAAGCUGCCAGGUGGAUGGAGCCUCAUCUGCCUGUGUCUCAUACUACAGUUGAGAGACCCUGGAAACAGCCCGCCUGGGUUACAUACCUUGCCGUCACAUGGCCCACUGGGCUAACAUUGAAGCUCACCCUGUAUUGGGGGGAAAUGGAACAAAACUUAGGCUGGUUCAGCCAGUUCCUCUCUUAUCUCAGGGUGUCACAUUCCCAGUAACUUCUAGUUGUUCUUGAGAACUACAAGCAAUAAAAGGGGGCAAAACAGGUUAAUCUAAGGCCAGCCAGAGAACUAUCCUGCACCAUGUAAAUCAAAGAAUAAGUUUAAAGGAGAAUAUGUACUCUCCACAGUAGGGAGUUAAAAUAAAGCAAGAGAUCACUGUCUAAUGAGACUCAUAGGAAUCAGCCAUCUUAUUCAAUUUAUCAGAAUUUUCAAGGACACAGGUAAUCACAAAGAUGUAGGGAGAGGCCCAAGACCCCAGGGUAACAGGGGAGACACAUGGUCACAUUAUUAAUUCCUGGGCUUCUCCACUUACACUCUUGAGAGUUUCCCAGCUUAGCAGGUCUGUUUCAGAAAAGCUCCUCAUAAAUCCAUGUAUUUCAGAUUAUUUUUUGCUUAAAAAACAGCCCUAGUGAGGGGAAAGGGGAAAAAAAAACAAGGGGGAGAAAUGAAUUAC